rnacentral:rRNA from 1 species
ACAGGUGCUGCAUGGCUGUCGUCAGCUCGUGUCGUGAGAUGUUCGGUUAAGUCCGCUAACGAGCGCAACCCUCGCUGUGUGUUACAAGUGUCACACGGAACUGCCGGUCAUAAACCGGAGGAAGGUGGGGAUGACGUCAAGUCAGCAUGGCCUUUAUAUCCUGGGCUACACACACGCUACAAUGGUCUGUACAAUGGGUAGCCAAGCCGCGAGGCGGAGCCAAUCCUGAAAGCAGGCCUCAGUUCAGAUUGCAGUCUGCAACUCGACUGCAUGAAGCCGGAGUUGCUAGUAACCGCAGGUCAGCAAUACUGCGGUGAAUACGUUCCCGGGUCUU